rnacentral:rRNA from 1 species
GAAUUCGCCCUUAGAGUUUGAUCAUGGCUCAGGAUGAACGCUAGCGACAGGCUUAACACAUGCAAGUCGAGGGGCAGCGGGGAAGUGCUUGCRCUUCCGCCGGCGACCGGCGCACGGGUGAGUAACACGUAUGGAACCUGCCCGCAGCAGGGGGAUAAUCGGAAGAAAUUCCGUCUAAUACCGCGUAACAACCSRWUGGGGCAUCCCRUUSGGUUUAAAGGAUUACCGGCUGCGGAUGGCCAUGCGGCGCAUUAGCUAGUUGGCGGGGCAACGGCCCACCAAGGCGACGAUGCGUAGGGGUUCUGAGAGGAAGGUCCCCCACACUGGUACUGAGACACGGACCAGACUCCUACGGGAGGCAGCAGUGAGGAAUAUUGGUCAAUGGCCGAAGGGCUGAACCAGCCAAGUCGCGUGAGGGAAGACGGCCCUACGGGUUGUAAACCUCUUUUGCCGGGGAGCAAAGGCGGUCACUGGUGACCGGAUGAGAGUACCCGGAGAAAAAGCAUCGGCUAACUCCGUGCCAGCAGCCGCGGUAAUACGGAGGAUGCGAGCGUUAUCCGGAUUUAUUGGGUUUAAAGGGUGCGCAGGCGGGACGCCAAGUCAGCGGUCAAAUUUCGGGGCUCAACCCCGACCUGCCGUUGAAACUGGURUCCUYGAGUGGGCGAGAAGUAUGCGGAAUGCGUGGUGUAGCGGUGAAAUGCAUAGAUAUCACGCAGAACUCCGAUUGCGAAGGCAGCAUACCGGCGCCCCACUGACGCUCAUGCACGAAAGCGUGGGUAUCGAACAGGAUUAGAUACCCUGGUAGUCCACGCAGUAAACGAUGAAUACUAACYGUCCGGGWCGAUUGAGWCCUGGGUGGUACAGCGAAAGCGUUAAGUAUUCCACCUGGGGAGUACGCCGGCARCGGUGAAACUCAAAGGAAUUGACGGGGGCCCGCACAAGCGGAGGAACAUGUGGUUUAAUUCGAUGAUACGCGAGGAACCUUACCCGGGCUCAAACGACGGAUGAAUGUUUUUGAAAGGAGGCAGCCCUUCGGGGCAUCCGUCGAGGUGCUGCAUGGUUGUCGUCAGCUCGUGCCGUGAGGUGUCGGCUUAAGUGCCAUAACGAGCGCAACCCCCAUCGCCAGUUACCAUCAAGURAAGUUGGGGACUCUGGCGAGACUGCCGGCGCAAGCUGCGAGGAAGGCGGGGAUGACGUCAAAUCAGCACGGCCCUUACGUCCGGGGCGACACACGUGUUACAAUGGCAGGCACAGAGAGAAGCGACAUGGCGACAUGAAGCGGAACUGGYAAAACCUGUCUCAGUUCGGAUUGGAGUCUGCAACCCGACUCCAUGAAGCUGGAUUCGCUAGUAAUCGCGCAUCAGCCACGGCGCGGUGAAUACGUUCCCGGGCCUUGUACACACCGCCCGUCAAGCCAUGGAAGCCGGGAGUGCCUGAAGUGUGCAACCGCAAGGAGCGCCCUAAGGUAAAACCGGUGACUGGGGCUAAGUCGUAACAAGGUARCCGUAAAGGGCG